rnacentral:lncRNA from 1 species
AUGCUCAAGAUCAAGAUUGUGUUCCUCUUCUCCCGUAUUCUUGGGCUGCUGGCAUGCUCAAUGAGUUGGUCCUGGAUCAUCUCAUCAGUAUUCUCAGUAAACGCACACGUCACCGCCAGCUCUCGUAGCCGUCGACUAGUCGAUGACAUCACCAAGAGUCGAAGUCGGGCCGAGUGGCAGCCGAGUGCCGGUGUUGUGCCAAAAUCCGUGACCCAAAUAAAUCUAUGACAGCCGGUGGCAACAGUUCCAACCCCUGUGGCUUCUUGGCGAACAUUUACUCCCCCUUAAACAUGUUUGAAAUUCUUCUCCAGCCUGCAUUUACUUCACCCACCAGAGCGUCAUGUUUAAGGGUGUGUAAAUAGCUCCUUAACUCAUUCAGUGCCAGCGAUUUUCAAAUUUUCUACCCCCUCAGUGCCAGACGUUUUUGAGCAUUUUGACUGAAUUCAAAGACCCACAGAAUAUUUUCUACUAUGACUAUCUGAAAUCUGACACCAGAUUCUGAAAGAUUGAAGCCUCUACUGUCAUGAAAAAAAUAACCAUUUGUUUCUGGCUCGUUCCGUUCUUUUGUAAUCAGCCGUUGAAUAGAGCAAGUUUUACACAAAUCUUCAGUUUCAGAGCAAAAAGCUGAGAAAACAGCCUUUUUGUAAAAAAAUCCUGUCAGUGACUUUAAAGCUAUUUUUUUUUUUGCUUUAGUGACAACUCUAACAUCUGAACAUUGUUUCCUUAUAUAAAACAUUAAAAAAAACACUGAGACCGGGCUUUUGAUGGCAAAAUUAUUAUUAUUUUGCUGUCUAUGUCAGAGUUGAAUGGAUUUCUUACUGUAUUUUGGCGUUCCUCCAACGUUCCGUCCCGUCAGUCUGUACACAGACGUAACUUCCUCUUCCUCCCGACACGCAGCAAUGACCCGUUUAGCCUGGUUAGUUGAUGGUUUUAUCUCACGAUCACAACAUUAUCAAUAAUCUACUCAGGUCCACACAUUCUGUGUUAGUAUGUGGAGCUGUGAGCUGCUGGAUACGUCACAAUAUCACUUUGUAGCGCCAUAUUCUCAAUCGUUCCUUCUUCUCCCACCCAGCUAAUCAUAGCAUCAGUGGCUAAUCUCUCAUCUCAAGGUGCACCGCUGCCAUCGUCAGGGCAUAGUUGGUCACUACAACAUCCCACAGCUUAGAUAUUGAUGAGGGACCUCCGCCAGGGUGUUUUCUAGUAAUCCCCGU